rnacentral:rRNA from 1 species
GGCACCACCAAAUCCCCACCGAUGUCACCACCCACUGCGUGCCCCUUCUUAUCCACAACACGUCGCCAUUCCUCAUCACCCAAGCGCCGCUCCGCCUCCAUCUUCCUCCUGCUGCCUGACCACCCAUCGUUGCUCCUCCUCCUCUUCUCCUCUUCUCCAUCCGCCUCACACCCAAGUGUUGCUUUCCUGUUCUUGGCCGCGGUGGCUGGCCUGAGCCACAUCCCAGCUGACAGCGUCGGCGUGCUUUCUGGCUACGGCUGGGGCGUUGGUGGCCUGCUCAUCGGCGCACUCGGGCCGGGGCGGAGCCCCCUUCCUUGCAGUGGUGAUGGAGCCCCUCCUCCCGGAGGGUGGCUGGGGGCAACCGAGGUUGCAGGGCAGGUGUGCAGUGGCUCGGUUGCGCCAGAUCUGGCGGCUGGCCAGCACGCGCGGGGGGCGGUCUGGUGGUGGUGUUCGUCUGCCGGUGGCCACGGAUGUGGGAGUGCCGAAGCUGCCUCCGGUGAAAGCCCCUGGGCCCCGGUUUUCUCUUCCAUGAGCUGGUCUCUGUAUCAGCAAUGGGCAUCAAUUUUCUCUGUAUCUUUAGUUCGGCUCUCUCUCCUUCUUUAGGAUUAUUAGCUCAAAUGGCAAUUAAGACAUUUCUUUCUAUUAGACUCGGUGCUUUUCUUUGGAUUCAUGUGCAUCUCCUCUUUGCUCAUUUUCAAUUGGUGACGCAUAUAGUAGAUGCGGCAGGCAGCUUUCUUGAUUUUUCUCUAGGGUAAACAUGAACAUCUCAUCCGCUUUUUGUUGGCUUGUUGAUCUUGUAAUGCAUGAAAUAAGUUGGUUGGAUUUUAUGUAAUAGAGCAGGUAGGACUAUUAAUUGGAAUCUGAAAUUUUAGCACAGGCACAAGACUUGGUUCCUAAGGCAGGAAGAGGAGGAGCUCGGGCGCGCUGGUGAGAGGAGCCGAAGUGGAACGGUGGUGCCGGGUGAUGCGGUCGCCGGCGUCGGCCGGCAGCGGAUUGAGCAUCACGUGGGCCGCGAGCUUCUUUGUAAACCACAGGGGCUUCUUUGUAAAAAAGCGUGACGGACGACAGAAAUCCAACCAUCCGGAGCUGUCGCCGCCGCGAAGAGCGCCGCCCCACCGCGCCGGAAAGGAAGCAUGUGGAUAAGAUAGAACAAAGGGUCGCGGACCGAAUUCUUACAAACAUAGGGUUCUUUUUUGUAAAAAUGAAUCGUUAUCUCAGAUCCACUUAAACAGGGACUGCGGGUUGAAUUCUCACAAGCAGAGGGGCUUUUUUGGAAAAGUGCCGACGACGGACGGGCAGAAGCACUCCGUGCUUUAUUAGUAGGGAAAGAUAUAUAUUCUUGCUUUUAGAUUUUUUUUUCCUUGUUUUUCAUGAACGAAAAAGGUAUAGAAGGCCAA